ACAGGUAUCGUCUAGCGGUCCAAGACACCGCCCUUUCAAGGCGGAGAUCGCGGGUUCAAAUCCCGUUACCUGUACCA
rnacentral:tRNA from 1 species